rnacentral:sRNA from 1 species
GUUUGUUUGCUUUUAUCCUCUGCUCGCAUUCCGGCAUUGCCCUUUUCUUAGCUUGACUUGCUUGGCAUUGCUCCACUAAUAACAUGAUUGACGACUUCUACUUUCCACACUCUUUCUCCUCCUGCGAACGACCAAACUACAUAUAAUAUGCCACAGCUCUCCGUUCGUUUCCCUCUCCCAGCACAUCUGCACCAUGGAAGCGCACUUCAAAAUUCAUCCAGUGCACUGGAACAGGAACCAACCCAGGCAGCAGGAGCGGGAAGGCAUCAUGGAAGCACGGCAUCCGGCCUGGGCCCCGAACAGUUUUCGAAGGUAGCCCCUCUGAAUUCACACGUCUGUAUAUUUCUCGAUCGCCAUCGUCGCAUAUACGUAUAUACGUAUAUUUAAUCCGGCAGUCUGGGUCUGGAACAAAAACUCAAUUCUACAUUUCUACCAUACAAGCUGCAUUCAAAAUGCUUGCCAACAGAGAAAAAAUAACGUCGUGCUAUAUGAUACGUAUCCAAACAAUACACAAAAAAUGCAACAAUAAUGCUUUUACUUUAUGCUAGAUGAUUUCAAUUCUGCGGUCCUACUCGGCGAUUCCAUCAAUCAUAAGGUAAUGGCGCCUCUGUUCUUUGCCUUUUAUGAUCCCCUCCAAGAUCCCUUCGACUGUCGGAAGGAGGUCUCUUCAUCGUGGGUGGCAUACCUCCUCUACCGCCACCUCCGCCUGCCAGGCUGAAAGGUGGCGGCGGCGCAAAAGUUUUCAUUCCUCCUCCUCCUCCUCCUGCCAGCGGGAAAGGCGCUGCUGCUAAAGGCCGCCCUCCACUAUUGGUGGGAGGCGGUGGUCGAGAAGGGCGAUUGACAUUGGUGUGCAUCAUUGAUGGGGGGCCUGGUGGAAGAUAUGGUUGGUGUGAAAGAGAAUACUGUUGACCCCCGCCGCCUGUUAAACCGCCUCUUCCGUUGAAUGAUGAUUGCCCGUUAUAUGCCAUAUUGGAAGGAGGGAGAGGGACAUUAUUGUAUGCAACGGAGGCACCGUAUGGGUUUACCCCACCAUAAGCGUCUGCACCGGGUGGCAUAUUAGAUAAUCCCUGUGCUUGCAUGUACGGUUGCGGAUUGUAUCCCUGCGCAUUCGCCACUUGCGAAGACGCGUAAGGAUUCAUUGCAGGAUUGUGCCUGGUGGCGUUUGCGCUUUGUUGUUGAUAACCUUGACCAUGGCCGCGCUGCUGGUUACCAUAGCCAGACUGAUAAGCAACAUAUGGCUGUUGAGGCUGGUAGAUUUGUUGAGCGUGGUGCGCUUGCUGAGAUUGGUACGCUUGUUGAGUUUGAUAAGCCUUCUGCGGUGGUGGUUGAACUGGAGCAGCGGCGGGUUGUUUAUGCCAAGCUGACAUUUCGUGUGAAGCCGCAAAAUCAAGGUUGAUGCUGCACAUCAUAUCAGAAUUUUCGUUCUCAAAUACUUGAGGGCCAUGUGAUUGGGACUCACGUUUCUGCCGGCUUGGGAGAGACCCAGAACCAAGGAUGAUCAAGAGCCUCGCUCGCCGUUGGCCGCUUGCUCGGAUCGAGGGAUAAUAGCUUGACCAACAGAUCUGCUCCACCACGGUCCAUACUGAGAAAAGAGAGAAAUUAGCAUUUGGAAUCAGGGCAGUCUCUUUGUUCAUAAAAUCACUUACUGCCAGGAUUUGCUCUCCUCCAAAAUACUCGUAUCUCGCGGCGUCUUAUCCCACGCGAAACCAUGCGCCUCUGGGAAACCAGGUAAAUCCUGCCACCCCGACCAGGUCUCUUCGUUCAAAGGGCCGCAUUUGGCAAAGAUCAUGCUCAACUGUUCCCUAUCCCCGCCACCUGGUAAAAUCGGUCUGCGCAGGUACAUUUCUCCCAACACACAGCCGAUUGACCAAAUGUCCACCGCUGGACCGUAGUUGCAGCAUCCCAAAAGAAGUUCGGGCGCACGGUACCAUCGCGUGACUACCAUGUUAGUAUAUUCGGUCGCCAGAUGAGGUGGCAUCUUCUUGUUGUCCGUCCAUGGACGCGCGAGACCAAAAUCGGCAAUCAUGAUUUGACCGUGUUUAUCAACAAGGAUAUUGGCCGUUUUGAUAUCUCGAUGAAUAAUGUUGUUGGAGUGGAUAUAUGCC